rnacentral:rRNA from 1 species
UGGGGAAUAUUGCACAAUGGGGGAAACCCUGAUGCAGCCAUGCCGCGUGUGUGAAGAAGGCCUUCGGGUUGUAAAGCACUUUCAGUUGUGAGGAAGGGUUGUUGGUUAAUACCCAACAACAUUGACGUUAGCAACAGAAGAAGCACCGGCUAACUCCGUGCCAGCAGCCGCGGUAAUACGGAGGGUGCGAGCGUUAAUCGGAAUUACUGGGCGUAAAGCGCACGCAGGCGGUUUGUUAAGCUAGAUGUGAAAGCCCCGGGCUCAACCUGGGAUGGUCAUUUAGAACUGGCAGACUAGAGUCUUGGAGAGGGGAGUGGAAUUCCAGGUGUAGCGGUGAAAUGCGUAGAUAUCUGGAGGAACAUCAGUGGCGAAGGCGACUCCCUGGCCAAAGACUGACGCUCAUGUGCGAAAGUGUGGGUAGCGAACA